rnacentral:rRNA from 1 species
CCUACGGGAGGCAGCAGUGAGGAAUAUUGGUCAAUGGGAGAGAUCCUGAACCAGCCAAGCCGCGUGAGGGAAGACGGCCCUAUGGGUUGUAAACCUCUUUUGUCGGAGAACAAAACCCGGGACGUGUCCCGGACUGCGUGUAUCCGAAGAAAAAGCAUCGGCUAACUCCGUGCCAGCAGCCGCGGUAAUACGGAGGAUGCGGGCGUUAUCCGGAUGUAUUGGGUUUAAAGGGUGCGUAGGCGGUCCGUUAAGUCAGCGGUAAAAUUGCGGGGCUCAACCCCGUCGAGCCGUUGAAACUGGCAGACUUGAGUUGGCGAGAAGUACGCGGAAUGCGCGGUGUAGCGGUGGAAUGCAUAGAUAGCGCGCAGAACUCCGAUUGCGAAGGCAGCGUACCGGCGCCAGACUGACGCUGAGGCACGAAAGCGUGGGGAUCGAACAGGAUUAGAUACCCCAGUAGUC